rnacentral:rRNA from 1 species
UCCGUAGGUGAACCUGCGGAAGGAUCAUUAUAGAAAAUGACGUGAACUCUUAACGGAGUUCUCUCAAAGUGUUGGAGGGGAAGGCCUGCGCUUAAUUGCGCGGCUGUUUUUAAUCUCCUCCGCCUUUGAUACACACAUUGGAGUUUCUACUUUUUUGUUCUCUUUGGGAGGGUUCUGCUCUCCCAGAGGUAAACACAAACAAUCUUUUAUUAUACUAUUAACACAGUCAAAUGAAUUUUAAAAACAAAAUAUUCAAAACUUUCAACAACGGAUCUCUUGGUUCUCGCAUCGAUGAAGAACGCAGCGAACUGCGAUACGUAAUGUGAAUUGCAGAAUUCCGUGAAUCAUCGAAUCUUUGAACGCACAUUGCGCCCCUUGGUAUUCCGGGGGGCAUGCCUGUUUGAGCGUCAUUUCCCUCUCAAACUUUACGUUUGGUAGUGAGCGAUACUCUACUCUGGAGUUUGCUUGAAAAUGGGAGGCCAUAGGCGAAGCAUUGCUUUCCAAUCCUGCGGCCCUCUGCUUACUUCCCCUUGUGGGUUGUGGCAGGGGAAAGCGGGAGGCGCCUUGCCACGAUAGUCGUAUUAGGUUUUACCGACUCGGCGAAAGUGAAGAGGUUUGCUUUUUAAAAAGAAGCAGGCAGCGUCUGGCUUGACAAAAUUCUCAAAGUUUGACCUCAAAUCAGGUAGGAUUACCCGCUGAACUUAAG